GACGAACGCUGGCGGCGUGCUUAACACAUGCAAGUCGAACGGAAAGGCCCUGCUGUUGUGGGGUUCUCGAGUGGCGAACGGGUGAGUAACACGUGAGUAACCUGCCCUUUACUUUGGGAUAACUUCUGGAAACUGGGGCUAAUACCCGAUAGUAGCUCCUGCUGCAUGGUGGGGGUUGGAAAGUUUCGGCGGUUGGGGAUGGACUCGCGGCUUAUCAGCUUGUUGGUGGGGUAGUGGCUUACCAAGGCUUUGACGGGUAGCCGGCCUGAGAGGGUGACCGGCGACAUUGGGACUGAGAUACGGCCCAGACUCCUACGGGAGGCAGCAGUGGGGAAUAUUGCACAAUGGGCGGAAGCGUGAUGCAGCAACGCCGCGUGCGGGAUGAAGGCCUUCGGGUUGGAAACCGCUUUCGCCUGUGACGAAGCGUGAGUGACGGUAAUGGGUAAAGAAGCACCGGCUAACUACGUG
rnacentral:rRNA from 1 species